UUCCUACUCCCUCCGUUCGGAAAUACUCGUCAUUGAAAUGGAUGUAUCUAGAUGUAUUUUAGUUCUAGAUACAUCCAUUUUGGUGACAAGUAAUUCUGAACGGGGCGAGUAUAUC
rfam:Triticum urartu cultivar G1812 contig36574, whole genome shotgun sequence.